rnacentral:snoRNA from 1 species
CCCCUCUCAGGGUCGCAUCUGGAGAGUUUCCAGUCCUCUACCAGUCUCGACUACGGGAGGGAGAGUCAAGAAGAGGCCUGUCCCUUCCGUUCCUAGCUUGGGCAGUGGCUAGCGAGUGGAAGGCCAUCUGCUAUAAGU